UCACUAACACUCAGACACGCUUAUAGCAGCCGUCGCUGUCACUUGUCGGGCCGUUCUGCCAGUUUUGCUGUCGACAUUUUUUUCGGCGGACAAACAGUUAUUCCUAAUUUUGAAGAUUUGUUUCUAAAACUCGGAAAAAUAAUGAUUUGUCGAACAGGUUGCAUGCUCAGUUGCUGGUCCAGGAAACCGUUAGGAUGCUGUUCCUGUGGAAAAGGGUUGUCGAGAAAUCACGGAUUUGGCCUUGACGAUGUGUUAAA